rnacentral:rRNA from 1 species
GAUGAACGCUGGCGGCGUGCCUAAUACAUGCAAGUCGAACGCAUCACUUCGGUGAUGAGUGGCGAACGGGUGAGUAAUACAUAAGUAACCUAGCCUCUGGAGGGGGAUAACUAUUGGAAACGAUAGCUAAGACCGCAUAGGCAUAGGCAUCGCAUGAUGAAUAUGUUAAAUAUCCCACGGGAUAGCGAGAGGAUGGACUUAUGGCGCAUUAGCUGGUUGGUGAGGUAGAGGCUCACCAAGGGGACGAUGCGUAGCCGACCUGAGAGGGCGGACGGCCACACUGGGACUGGGACACGGACCAGACUCCUACGGGAGGCAGCAGUAGGGAAUUUUCGGCAAUGGGCGAAAGCCUGACCGGGCAACGCCGCGUGAGGGAGGAAGUACUUCGGUAUGUAAACCUCUGUUAUAAAGGAAGAACGGCAUAUGUAGGGAAUGACAUAUGAGUGACGGUACUUUAUGAGGAAGCCACGGCUAACUACGUGCCAGCAGCCGCUGUAAUAC